rnacentral:rRNA from 1 species
AUUGAACGCUGGCGGCAUGCCUUACACAUGCAAGUCGAACGGAGUGGCGAACGGGUGAGUGAUGUAUCGGAACGUGCCCAGUAGUGGGGGAUAACUACGAGAAGGCGUAGCUAAUACCGCAUACUAUUAGAGCGGCCGAUAUCGGAUUAGCUAGUUGGUGGGGUAAAGGCUCACCAAGGCGACGAUCCGUAGCUGGGCUGAGAGGACGACCAGUCACACUGGGACUGAGACACGGCCCAGACUCCUACGGGAGGCAGCAGUGGGGAAUUGUGGACAAUGGGGGAAAGCCUGAUCCAGCCAUCCCGCGUGUGUGAAGAAGGUCUUCGGAUUGUAAAGCACUUUUGGCAGGGAAGCGGUACCUGCAGAAUAAGCACCGGCUAACUACGUGCCAGCAGCCGCGGUAAUUC